ACGACACAACCGUUUGAACCAGCGACCUAUGGAUCAUACAGUCCACCGCUCUACCAACUGAGCUAUCG